rnacentral:rRNA from 1 species
AUUGAACGCUGGCGGCAGGCCUAACACAUGCAAGUCGAGCGAGCGGCGGACGGGUGAGUAAUGCCUAGGAAUCUGCCUGGUAGUGGGGGAUAACUACUGGAAACGGUAGCUAAUACCGCAUACCAUCGGAUGUGCCCAGAUGGGAUUAGCUAGUAGGUGGGGUAAAGGCUCACCUAGGUGACGAUCCCUAGCUGGUCUGAGAGGAUGGCCAGCCACACGGGAACUGAGCCACGGUCCAGACUCCUACGGGAGGCAGCAGUGGGGAAUAUUGGACAAGGGGCGCAAGCCUGAUGCAGCCAUGCCGCGUGUGUGAAGAAGGCCUUCGGGUUGUAAAGCACUUUCAGCGGGGAGGCGUUACCCGCAGAAGAAGCACCGGCUAACUCCGUGCCAGCAGCCGCGGUAAUUC